rnacentral:lncRNA from 10 species
AGUAGAGACAGUUUUGCCAUGUUGGCCAGGCUGGUCUCGAACUCCUGACCUCAUGUGAUCCACCUGCCUUGGCCUCCCAAAGUGUUGGGAUUACAGGCAUAAGCCACCACACCCAGCCAGAACUAUUACUUCUUUUAUCUCUGUAGAAACUGCACUGGAUAACUUUUUUCCUCUUUUUUGGCGACAGUCUUACUCUGUCACCCAGGCUGGAGUGCAGUGGCGCGAUCUCGGCUCACAGCAACCUCUGCCUUCCAGGUUCAAGGAAAUCUCAUGCCUCAACAUCCCGAGUAGCUGGGAUUACAGGUGUGCACCACCAUGCCCGGCUAAUUUUUGUAUUUUUAGUAGAGAGGGGGUUUUACCAUGUUGGCCAGGCUUGUUUCAAACUCCUGACCUCUAGUGAUCCACCCACCUCAGCCUCCCAAAGUGCUGGGAUUACAGGUGUUAGCCACCAUGCACAGCCGAGAACUUUCUUUUAUUUGGACUCCUGAUUUUAGAAUACCAUGGUUUCUUUUAAAAAAAAAAAAAAGUACGAUUAUUAACACUGAUUAAUAACACAUGAACCAAACCCACUUAAUAUCAUUAUUAAAAACAGGCUGGGCACAUGGCUCUGGCUCACGCCUGUAAUCCCAGCACUUCGGGAGGCCAAGGCAGGUGGAUCACCUAAGGUCAGGAGUUCAAGACCAGCCUGGCCAACAUGGCGAAACCCCAUCUCUACUAAAAAUACAAAAAUUAGCUGGGCGUGGUGGCAUGCGCCUGUAAUCCCAGCUACUUGGAGGCUGAGGCAGGAGAACCACUUGAACCCGGGGGGCGGAGGUUGCAGUGAGACGAGAAGGCACCACUUCACUCAAGCAUGGGUGAAAGAGCAAGACUCAGUCUUAGGAAAAAAAAAAA